rnacentral:rRNA from 1 species
ACGCGUAGAAUCUGGCUNUAGGUCUGGGACAACCACUGGAAACGGUGGCUAAUACCGGAUGUGCCGAAAGGUGAAAGGUUAACUGCCUGGAGAUGAGCUCGCGUCUGAUUAGCUAGUAGGUGUGGUAAGAGCGCACCUAGGCGACGAUCAGUAGCUGGUCUGAGAGGACGAUCAGCCACACUGGGACUGAGACACGGCCCAGACUCCUACGGGAGGCAGCAGUGGGGAAUUUUCCGCAAUGGGCGAAAGCCUGACGGAGCAAUACCGCGUGAGGGAGGAAGGCUCUUGGGUCGUAAACCUCUUUUCUCAGGGAAGAACAAAAUGACGGUACCUGAGGAAUAAGCAUCGGCUAACUCCGUGCCAGCAGCCGCGGUAAUACGGAGGAUGCAAGCGUUAUCCGGAAUGAUUGGGCGUAAAGCGUCCGCAGGUGGCUGUGUAAGUCUGCUGUUAAAGAGUCUAGCUCAACUAGAUACAAGCAGUGGAAACUACACGGCUAGAGUACGUUCGGGGCAGAGGGAAUUCCUGGUGUAGCGGUGAAAUGCGUAGAGAUCAGGAAGAACACCAGUGGCGAAGGCGCUCUGCUAGGCCGUAACUGACACUGAGGGACGAAAGCUAGGGGAGCGAAAGGGAUUAGAUACCCCUGUAGUCA